rnacentral:misc_RNA from 1 species
AGUUAGUUAUUGAUUUCUAUUUUGCUCAACUUUGCAUUAUAUCCUCACAAGUUUCUCGGUGAAAACGUUCUAGCAAAUUCCUUUAAUAUUUUAAAAUUUUUAUUUGUAACCCGUACUUUAAUCCCAAAGACUAACUUUAAUAAACUAAAAAGCGAAAAAAUUCGUAAAAUUUAAUUAUUUCGGAGUUUUAAGUUUCAUAAACACGAAGUGAACAGUGUAAAGCAAACAAGAUUUCCCAUCUACUUGAGAAUCCGCUCCAUCAAUCGCCUUCGGCUUCGGGCACUGUGAUUGUGGAGAGAACGGAUUUUUAUAACGUGGCCAGCGGCGACAUCAUCAGAACGCAGCACAGUAAAGUGCACCCUAGUCCGGGGGCCGCCCGCAGUGUGUGGGCGUUGCCCCUGACAUCAUGUAACAUGGUCGCUGAAGAAGAUAGCGCCGCCAACACGGAAGAACGUCCGCACUCACCACCGUCGUUACGUCGUGGCGUACGUAGCGGCGUAGGUGUGAACAAUGUUGGCGGCCGAGUUGGACACACGGCUGGAGCAGAUGGCGCUAUCGACGAUCACGAUGAUAGCAACAUACUGUUAUUCGAGGGUCUUGACGGUGCUAUGGCACAUUUAGAUGAUAUAUUUGAUGUGAUAAAAAAUGGCGAAGUAUGUGAUGUGGAAAAUUUGGUGGAGAAAUUCGGAAUAGAAUGUUUAUCGGCACGCGAUCGACAUGGUUAUACGCCAGGCCAUUGGGUUGCGCUGAAUGGCAAUGUGGAAAUGAUGCGUUAUUUAAUCGAACGAAAUGCACCAGUUGAUUUACCCUGUCUGGGUACACAGGGCCCGCGACCUAUACACUGGGCAUGUCGCAAAGGUCAUGCGGCUGUGGUUCAAGUAUUGUUGCAGGCAGGUGUUGCUGUAAAUGCAGCUGAUUUUAAGGGUCUUACACCGCUCAUGAGCGCCUGUAUGUAUGGCAAGACAGCCACUGCUGCUUACUUACUCGGCAUGGGUGCGUUAAAUCACUUAACGGAUAUAAAUGGUGACACCGCUUUGCAUUGGGCAGCCUAUAAAGGUCAUGCCGAUCUAAUGCGUUUGCUAAUGUACUCUGGUGUUGAACUGCAGAAAACGGAUAAUUUCGGGUCGACACCAUUACAUUUGGCUUGUCUUUCGGGCAAUAUGACCUGUGUACGCUUAUUGUGUGAAAAAUCCAAUAUGGAUUUAGAGCCGCGUGACAAAAAUGGUAAAACACCGAUAAUGUUGGCGCAGGCACAUCAACAUCAGGACAUUGUGCGUUUGCUGUACAAUGAAGUUAAGAAAAAAUCACGUUGGAUUCCGUCGAUUUCAGAAAUUUGGGGUUGGUUAUUUGGUGGCGCUGGCGAUUCAAAGGGACCAUUGCUACUUUUUUUAUUCUCAGUACUAUUAUGGGGAUAUCCUAUGUAUAUGAUAAGGGCUAUACCAAUUACCUGGAACAUACUUCGCCGCUCCCAUUAUUGUUUCAUCUAUUGGAAUGCUGUCAUGUGGAUCAGUUGGGUCAUUGCAAAUCGCCGAGACCCUGGCUACAUACCACUCAGCUCGGACGCUUACUAUCGCGCCAUCAAACAAAUACCGUAUUUUGAUAAGUUGAAAAAACGUAAUGUAAUAUUGACGCGUUUGUGCCAUAGCUGUCGUUGUUUACGACCGUUGCGUGCUAAACAUUGUCGCGUCUGCAACCGUUGUGUUUCGUAUUUUGAUCAUCACUGUCCGUUCAUCUAUAAUUGUGUGGGCUUGCGAAAUCGUAUGUGGUUCUUCUUGUUCGUACUCUCAGUGGCGGUGAAUUGCUCGUUUACCAUUUACUUUGCUUGCUACUGUGUAAUGAUUGAGGGCUUUACAUUGCUCUAUGUCUUGGGUUUGCUGGAGGCGGUGGUCUUUUGCGGACUCGGUUGGAUAUUGACUUGCACUUCGAUAUUACAUGCCUGCAUGAAUCUCACCACGAAUGAGAUGUUCAAUUAUAAACGUUAUCCAUAUUUACGUGACAAACGUGGCCGUUAUCAGAAUCCAUUUUCACGUGGUCCUAUACUGAAUUUAUUGGAAUUCUUUGUUUGUCUACCUGAUCGGAUUGAUGAAAAUGAUCUACUCAUGGAGGAUAAUAUUUGAUUGAAAACUUAGGUACGCGCUAAUGCGCGGCGCCGUAAAAUACCAGCACAUGGAUAAUAAAUAGCUUAAAUCAAAUGAGCGGGGUUAUAAAAUCCCCUCUUGGCAGCUAAAUGCACAUUGAAUGAAAGAUAGCUACUUGCUUAAAUAUAAAUUCACCACGCGGCUUAAGUCUACAAAGCAUUAUUACGAAGAAACAAAUUAAGAACGACUGUGAAAUGUUACGCUAAAACUUUGAAACAAGUUUCAAGAAAAUUCCGCGUUGUAUGUGGUCAGAUGACCGGAAGGCAAACUAAUAAUACUUGUACAAAUAUUAACUCCAGGAUGGUACAAAUGCAUGGUCUAAAACGCCUAAUAAGCUAAUUUGUACAAUGAACCGCAAUGUGUUUAUUGAAAUGAAAAAAAAAUACUUAGCAACUUUCUUUCGAAUACGGUUUUUCAAGGAUUCUGAUCAAUGUGACCGAAACGAUCCGAAUUUAACUUGGGUUAAAAUUAAGCUUUGAAUUCCCAUAUACGCAGUAUAUCACAUCGGCCUUAUCAAUUGUAAUAUUGAAGUUGCCAGCAAUGUAAACUGCUGGAAAAUAAUGAAUAUAAUACAAAAAAUACUUAUAAGAACUCGCGUAGCACCCAAGAAUUCCCCAUAGCAGUACAAAAAAAAGUUUCGCACAACACAGUUUAAAGAGUUUGAAUUCAUAAUAUGUUGUAUUCCAAAAAAAUGCAUACUAUGUCUAGCUUAAAACAUGUAAAAAUAAAUAUAUGUAGUUUGUUGUUCACACGAAAGCUGUAGCGGCAUAAUCGUGAAUAAAAAUAUUGCAUAUU